rnacentral:lncRNA from 1 species
ACAGAGCGUAGCCCUUGCACCAUGUUGUGGGAAUCAACUGUCCCAUCGCUGCCACUUCCGCUGGUGUUGGGAGAAUGGAUGUGCUUGUGUUUGGAUGUCCCUAUUUAUAGAAUAGGCUAGCGACGGCCAGUGCAGCCGGCCGCCGACGGUUUCUUGUGUACGCUGCGAUGCAAAUCUCCUCUGUCAGCUGUGUGUGCGCUACUGGGGGAAGGCGAAAGAACUGGAGAGGAACUUGACUCACCUUUUCCUGGCUCGCCAUGAGAAACUGAGCACGAAACAAUAGAAAUGGCCCUUCUGGAGCGUGUCAUGGUUUCUCGCUAGGGAAAUAAGCAGACUAAUGUGACAAAACCUCUGUAGAUAAAAAACGACAGGGACGGAGGUUUAUGGGCUUGAGGCUGAGCAGCACAUCAUCCCAGCAAGCCGACAGCCAGGCCUGCCUCUGAAAUCACCAACCACUUACACAGGAAGUGAUGGGUACUCCACACUGCUGCACCAAGAGAAAGUCUGUGAGCAUCAUCACGCGGCCUCAGGCUCGUUUACAAUCUUGAACUGGAAUGACCUUUCCACUGUGGGGCAAACUCCUUCCCAGACUCAGAGGUUAACCACACAAGUACUUCAGUGAUUCAAAAAACAAUCGCACGGUUGCUCUCCCUUGGAGAUGAAUUCCCAAA